AAAAAGACAAACCCUGGUUUCCGUGUCCAACGUUUGACUGUCCGUCUUAUAUAAAAUUUUUUUAUAAUUAGUAUUUUCAUUGUUGUUAGAUGAUAAAACAUGAUUAAUACUUUAUGUGUGACUUAUCUUUUUAAUUUUUUUAUAAUUUUUUUAAAUAAGACGAACAGUCAAACGUUGAACACGAAAACUCAGAUUUGUCUCAAUG
rnacentral:pre_miRNA from 1 species